rnacentral:rRNA from 1 species
UACGUAGGGUGCAAGCGUUAUCCGGAUUUACUGGGCGUAAAGCGCACGCAGGCGGCUUCGUUAGUCGGAUGUGAAAGCUCCUGGCUUAACUGGGAGAGGCCAUUCGAUACUGCGGGGCUUGAGGUUGGGAGAGGGGUGUGGAAUUCCCGGUGUAGUGGUGGAAUGCGUAGAUAUCGGGAGGAACACCAGUGGCGAAGGCGGCACCCUGGCCCACACCUGACGCUGAGGUGCGAAAGCGUGGGUAGCAAACAGG